CUACGGGGUGCAGCAGUGGGGAAUAUUGGACAAUGGGGGAAACCCUGAUCCAGCAAUGCCGCGUGUGUGAAGAAGACCUGCGGGUUGUAAAGCACUUUCGGUUGGGAGGACUGCUUCUAGCACUAAUAUUGUUGGAAGUUGACGUUACCUUCAGAAGAAGCACCGGCAUAACUCCGUGCCAGCAGCCGCGGUAAUACGGUGGGUGCAAGCGUUAAUCGGAAUUACUGGGCGUAAAGCGCGCGUAGGCGGCUAGAUCAGUCGGGUGUGAAAGCCCCGGGCUUAACCUGGGAACUGCAUCCGAUACUGUCUAGCUUGAGUACAGGAGAGGAGAGUGGAAUUCCACAUGUAGCGGUGAAAUGCGUAGAUAUGUGGAGGAACACCAAUGGCGAAGGCAGCUCUCUGGCCUGAUACUGACGCUGAGGUGCGAAAGCGUGGGGAGCAAACAGGAUUAGAUACCCCAGUAGUC
rnacentral:rRNA from 1 species